UGCCAGCCGCCGCGGUAAUACGGAGGGGGUUAGCGUUGUUCGGAAUUACUGGGCGUAAAGCGUACGUAGGCGGAUUAGUCAGUCAGAGGUGAAAUCCCAGGGCUCAACCCUGGAACUGCCUUUGAUACUGCUAGUCUUGAGUUCGAGAGAGGUGAGUGGAAUUCCGAGUGUAGAGGUGAAAUUCGUAGAUAUUCGGAGGAACACCAGUGGCGAAGGCGGCUCAAUGGCUCGAUACUGAAGCUGAGGUAAGAACGUGUGGGGCGCAAACAGGAUUAGAUA
rnacentral:rRNA from 1 species